AAAAAAGCCGGAAUAGCUCAGUUGGUAGAGCAAAGGACUGAAAAUCCUCGUG
rnacentral:tRNA from 1 species